UACGUAGGGGGCUAGCGCUGUCCGGAAUCAUUGGGCGUAAAGCGCGUGUAGGCGGUCCGGUAAGUCCGCUGUGAAAGUCGGGGGCUCAACCCUCGGAUGCCGGUGGAUACUGUCGGGCUUGAGUACGGAAGAGGCGAGUGGAAUUCCUGGUGUAGCGGUGAAAUGCGCAGAUAUCAGGAAGAACACCCGUGGCGAAGGCGGCUCUCUGGGACGGUACUGACGCUGAGACGCGAAAGCGUGGGGAGCGAACAGG
rnacentral:rRNA from 1 species